rnacentral:lncRNA from 13 species
CUCUCAGUUAUGAAACCUGAGGAAGGCAGAAGUGAAGUUGGAGGACUCGGAAGGAGAGAGGUUAUUAUCUACCAGCAUCUAGGGAGCCCAAGGCUUCCCCCAGGACUCUCCUGAGCCUGUGUACCUUGUUUCCAAGAAAUGGUCAGUAAAGAUGGUUUUUCAAUUGGUGCUGGACACCAAUCACAAUCUCCCGUGAUCUGUGGCUUACAGUGCUCCUCGAUCCAGCUGAAGACAGUCUGACAGCUCCUGGAAGUUGGUCACAGAGACGAAGGUGUUGAAGGAACAAAACAUAUCCCUCACCUGAAGCUCCAUUCUGAAAAAUCCCGACAGAUAAUUCAGCAGACUAAACUACCAAAUCACCCUGGAACAUUCGUCUCAGCUGGACCCUGCGGGGCACUGAUGUUCCCGGCUUUAGUCAUCCGGAGGCUGUGCAGCCACAGCUUUGUCCAUACACCAGGUGGACUAACUUGGGAUGAAAAUCAAGUUAAACCUCGUAGAAUAUGUCAACCUAUGUUCUGAUGGUAAAAGAAGCAAAUGAACAAAUGAACAGAGGCUGCUAAACAGUUGUUUCACAAACUAUUACGACUAGCUAACAAGUUUCGCUGGGUCAUACCUAGUUGUAAAAGAAUACCAUAAGAACUCAGAAAGUGGACAUAUUUCUAUUAUUUGCUCGUCAUGUAGAUAAAUAGAUGAAAAGAGCCAUUAAAAAAAAACAAAGAAAAAAGAAUAGUAAAAUUAGAGAACCUGUUAUUAUCUCUUGGGCUCACUUGGCUUUAGAAAGAUGCAUUUAUCCAUCAUGAAUAUGAAUCCAAGAAUCUGGAUAGAUAUAAGAGAACCAAAUGUAACAGAAAUUUAAUAUCGUUUUUCCUCUAAGAUGAAACGUCUUCCGUUUUCCAUUUUAUUAGAUAAAAUUACUAACUAUGUUCUAAACCCUCGGUUGUGUAUUUUAUGAUGUUGGUUGCUGUGGAGUGGCCGUGAUUGCUUUUUCAAAUUGUUAAUUUGAUUUCUUUUUAAUACAUAUGGAUUACAUGACCCACGGCAAGAGACUGUAGAUUAUUACAUUUUAUUUAUGAGUUUCCUGUAAUUUUAAUAAGUUUCAUUGUCAAUGCAGAUGUUUACUCAAAAAAAUAAUAAAAUCUAAAACCAAGAAAAUCUCUUUGCUUUU